rnacentral:lncRNA from 1 species
ACCUUCAACAAUAGCAAAAGAAGAAAACAUGAUAAACUGAAUAAAGAACACAAUAGUUUAAUCUACAAGACAUCACUUGCAAGGAUGUGAAACUGAACAAUAUGCGAAGCAUGUGAAUAUCAAACAUCCCAAAGGCCAAGAGUACAUGUAUAUGUAAGCACCGAAUAUACUUGUGCAUGAAACCAGAGGUUUUAGAUGGGAACAAAUGUAUAUUAAUAUAUGGAACUUAUAUAGGGGCCGUUUGGAUGAGCUUAAAAUAAAUGCUUCUUGCUUAAAAUAAAUAAGUGGAGUAAAAGUUAGAAGCAAGAUAAGACUUAUAAGUGAUUAAAGUGUUUGGGAAAUAAGUAGAAACCCUGAAACAAAAAGUAGCAUUCCUAACUUUUUAUAAGUGCUUCUUGACUUAUUAUACAAACGGUACGAAUAAGUGCUCAUAACUUAUAAUUCAGAAGCUGGACUUAUAAGUCUUUACCAAACACCCACAUAGUUCUUUACUUCUUAGGUCAGAACUUAAAAUGUUUACUUAAUAAUCUGUACCAGAAAAUGAUACAUUGUAUAUGAUAAACAAGCAUUACAAAUUUUGGAUCCUAUAUUUCAACUCCAAAUUACAGAGAUACUAAUAGGAAAC